UUUUUUAUCUCCCAAUGUCUCUGAUUCUUUUUCAGGACAAAUAUACAACAAAAAGUCAGAGCAGGGGAAAAUGCACAAGAAGAAAACCCACUGAAGGUAGUCAGCGUGAUGGAGGGCAGUCCUGGAACAUCGCACUAAGAACCAAGAGAUUGGGGGCUUACAAGGAAAAGCAAACAAAACAUAGGACAGGAACAUCUAACAGAUGACUACCCCUGCAGAAUUCCAAAGGCUGACAUAUGUGGUCAUGUCCUGCCUGAAGUCAAUAAGGACUACAUGAAAUGCAAAACAGGGAGGAAUUUGGUCCAGAAUGCUUAUGGCAAAAAGAGGAAACAACCAAGAAUGGAGAGUUACUGUUAAAAAAGGAACAAGAAGAAUAAUUUAUCCAUGGAUUAUGAAGGCAAAGAAAUAUAGAACUACAAGAUACCUCUCAAACUAGAAGGGGAACUGAAAGGGUGUAAUUCGCUUUUUGUUGUUGUUUAAACUCACCACAACCAGAAAGACAUCCUGACAGAAAUGCCAACAGACAACACUCCUCCUACAGCCACCAGGAAGAAAAUAAUGCACGUUUAGAGAAUAACUCUUGCAAUCUAUAGACCUCACCUGGGCACACGUUUGUCACUCUUAUCUGGAGGGUCCUUGUAACAGUUUGGAUUUUCUCUCUUGAUGAGUGCUCCUGAGUCAAGGUACUCUGGACACAGAAUCCCAAGGCUGGGGAUCUGCAUUUAAUUACUUACCUUGGGAGCUUUGGGAUUUAACCUGAUCCUUAAUCUCUGAAGCAGCAAUUGCCACCUUUAUUUUUCUGUUUUCCCACAACAGCAACACAAUAGUGUCACUGCAGAGACCUGAUGCACCAGACAUUACUCCUUGCACCUACUAAUUCCCUUCUUCCUAAAAAUAUAACCAUUUAGCUUUCUUCAGAAAGGUUUGUUAAUGUUUAAAAUGGAAAAAGGGGAAAGCACUGUCUUAACAUAAAGCAAAUAUCUACAUUUCAAAAAGCUCAACAAAAGCAUCUCAGAUGAAAAUUCCAUUUAAGAUCCCUUAAACUACAAAUAAGUGUUCUUAAUUAUCUGCAUAUUUUCCUUUAAAGCCCUGUAUAAACUGACCAAUCUGAUAUAAUGGGGAAUUACAUACUUGUCUUUUCAAAGCUGCUCUCUGUUGUUGUUGAGACUAUGUCAACAUGCUAUUUUGUUGCAAUGAAAAUGGCCAUGUAUGUUGCUAAGAACAAAAUAUGGAUCCUGCCUUAAGACAAAUGUUAUUUGCUUAUGGUCAUGUUAUUUAGUAAAUUGGUCUACUUUGCAUAUUUAGGGUGUCAGGAUACAUAUAAAUUUAAUUUCCUCUAUGCACAGAAGUAAUUUCCAUAUAUAUUUCUGCAUAUUUAGUGAAACAUUUCUAAAAUAUGUAAAUGAUAUAUUAAAGUUCAUAAAUAACAGUAAAUACAUCUCAACUUUUUGAUGGAUGUUUUAACUUCUUGUUACUUAAAAUAAAUACAAGAUUACAUUUUUCGUGAGUGACAGGCAAAGCUGUACAUUCCAAUUCAGCUAAAAAUACAUGUCUGAAUGUUCUUCUGCAAAAAAAAGAUUUUAAGUUUUUUGCUGAACAGAAAGGGGAUUUAUAUUUUAUCAGAAUCAAACCUUCUUCUUUACCAAUGCCACAAUCAAUUUAAGUUGUUUUAUUAUUACAGAAGUAGAGGCCACAAACAUAAAUCUGAAUCAGUGAAAAGCCUACAUUUUCCAACAGAAUAUUUUUUUUAAAAGAAUUUGCAUAACAUUUUUCCUCACUAAUAUAACAGUUAAAAUUCUAAAAUAGGAAUAUUUUACUUUCGUCAGUUGCUAUACCUGUGAAAUAGAAAAUUCAUAUCAGCUCUCAGUCCUCAAAGAAAACCAUUCUUAGGUCUCUAAUUUUAUUCAUGUUUUACUGUUUUGCAACUAAACCAUUUUGAGUUUCUCUGAUUUACUAUUUUAUUAAUUGUUGAUUAGGAAAUGGAAGUGUAGUUACUGGGGUACCUUCCUUUCCAUCUCACACAUUCUUUAUAUGGCUCUACUCUGCGGCAUUAUCUUUUCUGAAUGGAAAAUCCAGUAUAUAGCUUUCCAGAGAUUCUACAUCUGUCCUUUUAACAUACCUGAGUU